rnacentral:rRNA from 1 species
UACGUAGGUGGCGAGCGUUGUCCGGAUUUACUGGGCGUAAAGAGCGCGCAGGCGGUCGUUCAAGUCGGAUGUGAAAGCCCUGGGCUCAACCCAGGAAGUGCAUUCGAAACUGCAGAGCUGGAGUCCUGGAGAGGAAGGCGGAAUUCUCGGUGUAGAGGUGAAAUUCGUAGAUAUCGAGAGGAACACCGGUGGCGAAGGCGGCCUUCUGGACAGUGACUGACGCUGGAGACGCGAAAGCGUGGGAGCAA